rnacentral:rRNA from 1 species
GCCAGCAGCCAGAUCACCCUGCAAUGCACCACUGGCAGCCCACUGGAGCUCAGCAGGUGGGAGCCUGGUCAGUACCUGGAUGGGAGACCUCCUGGGGAGAAACUGAGGUUGCUGCUGGAA